rfam:Ixodes scapularis strain Wikel colony gcontig_1108378867118, whole genome shotgun sequence.
GCCUCGGUGGCUACGAGGCGAGAGCGCGGGCCUACAGAUCCCCAUGUGGCGGGUUCGAGUCCCGGCCGAGGUG